UACGUAGGGGGGCUAGCGUUGUCCGGAAUCAUUGGGCGUAAAGAGCGUGUAGGCGGCCCGGUAAGUCCGCUGUGAAAGUCGGGGGCUCAACCCUCGAAUGCCGGUGGAAACUGUCGGGCUAGAGUCCGGAAGAGGCGAGUGGAAUUCCUGGUGUAGCGGUGAAAUGCGCAGAUAUCAGGAGGAACACCGAUGGCGAAGGCAGCUCGCUGGGACGGUACUGACGCUGAGGCGCGAAAGCGUGGGGAGCAAACAGG
rnacentral:rRNA from 1 species